CAGCGCAGCCCCGACCUGCUGCCCUCAGGAUCGGGGACGCGAAGCUGCUUCGUGCCCGUCGACUCGGACAGCCGGCCGUCCUCGACGCACCAGUCGAGAGCCAAUUACAAGUCACGCCACAAGCAGAUGCCAGAGGAGCUGUUCGCGCACGCCGAGCACAUAAUAUCCAACCCCUUGGACAGCUGCGUCCACUACGCGGACACGUCCCGAACAAUGCGGCCGUGUGACCUUGAGUCGUCGCGGUCAAGGUCGACCCGCCGGCCCAGUGGCGACGACUGUCGGACGCUGUCGGCCCCGGUUCGCAGGGCGCAUUCGAGUGGUCUCGACCGGCAGAGUGUCGUGUGAUUACCGGUUUGUGGAACGUAGCCAAUCGCUGUCCUCCGGGCGGGUUGUUGCCAAUGACGUCACGUGCGAAAGGACGGACGUCAGAGACAGACCCGGCAUACGAACUGCUGGCGAGAACUAUGUGGUUCACAGGCGUGACAACGGCGAGGGAGAAGGGAGCAUGACCCGAACAGUGUCCAUAAAAUUUAAGCAGUAACCUUAUGGCUACACUCGGAGGAAAUUAACUUUCAAAGGCGUCACCCACUACGUUAAGUACGUGUGUAUAAUUUUCGAGCCCGUUGUAAAUCUCAACGGUAUUUAA